rnacentral:rRNA from 1 species
UACGGGGGGGGCAAGCGUUGUUCGGAAUUACUGGGCGUAAAGGGCUCGUAGGCGGCCAACUAAGUCAUACGUGAAAUCCCUCGGCUUAACCGGGGAACUGCGUCUGAUACUGGAUGGCUUGAGUUCGGGAGAGGGAUGCGGAAUUCCAGGUGUAGCGGUGAAAUGCGUAGAUAUCUGGAGGAACACCGGUGGCGAAGGCGGCAUCCUGGACCGAAACUGACGCUGAUGCGCGAAAGCCAGGGGAGCAAACGGG